rnacentral:tRNA from 1 species
UUUUUAGUUGUUACCUAAAGGUUUACGGGAUCGAGNCCCGUCGAUCUAG